rnacentral:lncRNA from 1 species
AAAAUAAUAAAAAUAUUUUGUGUAAUACUCUAUAGUCUCCAGAUAAUCCUGGAGCACCGAUUUGUAUAGCUGGAGGCUUAUUUUUAGAUCCUCCAGAGAGGAUAUGUGAAAAAGAGGGAGAGAAAAACAGAAAGAGAGAAAGAAAGAGCAAGUUAAACCACCAAAACUUCAUAAAACAGAUUUUUUAAAAUUGGCAUUGGUAAUGUAGAUCUGAAAGUAGAUUUACAAUCAAAAUAAGCUAAAUGUGAUACUAAGCCUUCCCCCUGAAAAAAAUAAAUAAUACAAUUGUCUGUUUGUUUGUUGUUAGCUCCUCCAAGAGGCUGAAAAUAUAUAAAAAUUGCUAAUAAAUGUUCUUGUGUUAAUUAAAUUGUAGAUGGAGAGUCAUGCUAGAAUAUGAUCCUCUACUCCAUCUAGGCACUAGAAAGGUUUCAUUAGGAGAAUGUACAAAAGGGAAUAUCCACCAAACUGUGAGCAGACCAUCAACUGGGCAACAGCAAGAAAAUGAGACACAUUGAUAUUUUGCCAGUAGUGGAUAAACAUCCUUAAGCCUUAGGGACCUUAACAAAAUGAAAUUGCUACAGUAGAUAAGAAAGUAUGGACUAGGUUAGUUCAUCCCCUCUGGGGAAAUAAAAAGAGAAACAAAAAGACAACAAGUCUACAGUCCAAGAUUGCCAGAAAAAGCUCCAAAUGGCAUGACCACAUCUAGGAGGGAUAGGAACCAAAUAUCAUCCUGAAGCAGAUGGUGCCAGAUCAACAGGGCAGUCUAUUAGACAGUGGAAGGACAGUACAGAACUAGACUAUGAGCAUGUGGCAAGGAUUGGGGAAACUGGCAGCUUGUAAACAAAAUAGACAAUUAAAUGAAGAAAUAUGGCAUAUCAGCAUCUGAACUCCAAGUGGAUGAAGAGAGGGGAAAAAGACCCAGAGAAACAAGCAGAAGUGCUGUCAUGAUGCUGGAAAAAAAGACAAUGAAAAGAGACUUGAAGGACACAAGAAGAUAAGAGGAACCACAGUGAACGAGAGAAGAAAGUGAGGGAUGGAAGAAAGACAACGAAGAAGGGCAGAAAUAGAGCAAAGGGUACAUUGAGGAUGGGACAAUGGGCCUACAUUUUAUUGAGGCUAAAAGUAAUUUUUCUAACGGAUAUUCAAAAGUGGCUGUCAGACAAAGCAGAAUAUUUUCUUGAUUUUGUGUUAAAGAUAUAGGCUGAGUAGACACAAUCAUCUCAAUGAUUUGUGAAUGAUUUAUGAUAUGAAUAAUCAUAGACAAGUGCAGGGUGAAAGUGGGAAAUAUUGUGCAGUCACUAUUGUGCUAUUUUUGUAAUAUACAGCUCAGCUAGAAAAGUCCAUUAAGUUUAAGCAUGUUAGAGAAACAAAAUCUCUAGAAGACUCAAGCAUUUUGGGUCAAAUUUCUUUUCACCAGUGUUAUUUUUUAAAUAUUUCUCCCAUUUUCAGUCUAUUGGAAAAUGUCUUUUCUCCCACAGUGUGAAGGCUAGAUCCUCAGCAUGUAUAAAUUAACAUUGUAUUCAAUGAAGUUUGCCAAUCACCAAUGGAGAAUCUGGCCUUAUGCUCUGAAGUAGCUAACAAUUUUCAAACAAAGCCAUCCUGUCUUUCCUUCACUUAAUUUUUUCUAGAGUUCAGCUGCUAAAUGCCUUAGAGCUUUGAAUAUGAAUAUGAUAAGUAUAUGAACAGUAAGAAAAGCAAGUGUCCACGAGCAGUUGAAAGGGGACAGCUUAAUCUUUGGAACUGCUCACACUAGAGAAUUUUGGUCUCCAUUCACAACACUAGGUUAAGAGCCUGGAGUACUUGUAAAAAACUUCAUAUUCAAACACAAGUGCUAAUAUUUCAGAAGUGUUCCUCAUUUCAGUAUGAUUACACUAACUCCAAGCUAGUUGCCUUGGUGCUUCAGCUGACAAAAGUUCCCAGGUAACAUAGAAAGCUUGCAUUGCAAGUUUCUCACCUUUGCCAGUUCAGUUGGCCCUACCUAGUUUCAUAGUAGCUAGG